GUGAUAUUUAAUUGAAAAGUAUAACGAGCACCAAAAAACCUACAAAACAAAAGGUAUGAACAAAAGCAGAACACUCACCACAUACAAUCACUAACGUGGACAAGCAACAAUGACAGACAAGUGAGAGGAGCAGAGGAGAAAUAUUUAAACACAUACUAAUGACUUGAUUGGGACCUGGUGUGAGCGACAAUUGGAGACAAGACAAAUCAAGGAGUCCGGGGUGAGUUCAUGUACAACGGGAAUCCAGGAAGAGCGGUAGAUGACGGAGCUGCUCCAGGGCAGGAGAGGGCGCCGCGGUACGAGGCGGCCAGUCCUCGGCAGGCUCGGGUGGUGGUGGCCACUGGGCAGAGGGAGGUGCUGGCGGCGGCCACCACUGGGCAUCAGGGGGCGUUGGCUGCGGCGACCACUGAGCAUCAGGGGGACCACUGAGCACACAUACUAAUGACUUGAUUGGGAUCUGGUGUAAGCGACAAUUGGAGACAAGACAAAUCAAGGAGUCUGGGGUGAGUUCAUGUGCAAAGGGAAUCUGGGAAGAGCGGGAGAUGACGGUGCUGUCCGUCACCUCACUGUCACAUUUUUGAAAUUGUAAUGAUACCCUACCAUAUUUAGGGAGAAUAUUUGCCCAACUGCACCACGUUCAUGACAUUACAAUGUACCUGUGAGAUUUCCUGUAUGUACAAAUAAAUUAAACUGUUGUGGAAUCAUCAUAUGAAUGUACACUUUGUUAUACAACAGAGCAGCCGUUUGUAUUUGUUCUCAGGAAGUCACAUUCACAGGAAGUGAAAUUCUGUCAAAGCCCAUGACUGCAAUUAGCCAAUGGGCUGGUAGUAUUCUGUUAGACAUUUUUAACCUACGCUGGCUAUAUGACUGGCUUAAUCAGAAUACAGUUAAAGAUACAAUAUAUGGCAAUUUGCAAUUAUACAGAUGAAAGUCAUUGUAUUUAUUUUGGAAUUGGGGACUAUGGAGUUUGUGUGGGCUGGGUGUUAGUUUUUGCUUCUGUUCCUGCACGGGAAGCAAAAUAUCUUUGCCAGUCCAUUUUUGAACCUCUUCAGGAGAGACUGUUCUUCCUCAGGUUCUUCCUCAGGUUCUUCCUCAGGUUCUUCCUCAGGUUCUUCCUCAGGUUCUUCCUCAGGUUCGUUGACAGCUACAGGACCUAACGUGACAGGGAAGAGGGCAUGACACCGUUAUAUUGAUCAAAACAGAAAGACAGAAAUACACAGCACAACCUGAAAGUGUGAAUUAUCACUUGGCAACAGAGGGCAAAGUGGUGCUCAUUCAGCCGCAGUACAGGAAGUGAGAUCAUUAUUUGAUUCUACUCUGGUCUGAUUGCUGCCCCUCAUCCUGUUGAAGGCUCCACCACCACUGAGGUACAUUUUGGAGAAGUGAAAUGUCUGUUUAUUGCCCCCUACCCAACAAAGUCUAUACUGGCACUUUGACAGCAUGGACAACAAAUGUGUCAGAUCCCUUCAAGGUAACAAUUACAUAAUGUUCUAUGAAGAAAAAUCUACCUUUUAGACCUUUUUUGACUGUUUCUAAAUCAGUUAUUUUGCUAAGACUGUUUCUGAGUGUUUUGAUGAUGUUUGGAACUCUCUUUUGUCUAUUAACUAAAUGUAUUACAAGAGGCAUAACUAUCAUAAAAGUGCGAACAUAGAGCAGACAUUUAACCCACAGGAGUAAAGACGGAUAUACAUUAGAAAGACUUACCAGUAGUACAUAAAGGAAACACCUUAUUCUUCUUUCGAAACAAGAUCUUUCUUAGUUUCCCCAUUCCUGACUUCCUAUCAGCCUUGACACCAGUUACUGGAGGAUUUCUUUCCUGCGUGGAGGUGCUGCCGAAACGGUUGGUGGAGAGACAGCCUCUGCUGCACUGAUCUGAGCCAGCAGACUUACUUCUCUGGUUGAGGCGGGAAGACGUCUGAGGCCCCAAUCCGGCAGCUUUCCAUCUCCGUUUGCGUUCUGAGGACAUCUGAGGCGCCGAGCCGGCAGAGUUCCAUCUCUGCUUGUCAGUGGGUGUCGUCUCUUGGUCCUCUUCCAGGACUUCUGUUGAAGUGCUUGACUGGCCACUACGAACUAAAAAGCUACUCCAAUAGUGCAUGACGUAGUUAUGGAUGACCAGUGCAAAGGUGUUUGCCAUUGAACAUACGGCUCCCAUGUCACCGCGACAUGCGGCAUGCAGUUGAGCAAGGUUGCCGUGUGAACGCAAAGACAUCCUUUUUGA